rnacentral:pre_miRNA from 1 species
GUGACUAUGUGAGUGCGCACACGUGUGUGUGUGUGUGUGUGUGUGUGUGUGUGUGUGUGCGCACUCAUUCACUCAUCAA